rnacentral:rRNA from 1 species
UACGAAGGGGGCUAGCGUUGUUCGGAAUCACUGGGCGUAAAGCGCACGUAGGCGGAUCUUUAAGUCAGAGGUGAAAUCCCAAGGCUCAACCUUGGAACUGCCUUUGAUACUGGGGAUCUUGAGUCCGGGAGAGGUGAGUGGAACUGCGAGUGUAGAGGUGAAAUUCGUAGAUAUUCGCAAGAACACCAGCGGCGAAGGCGGCUCACUGGCCCGGUACUGACGCUGAGGUGCGAAAGCGUGGGGAGCAAACAGG